CACAUGCAAGUCGAGGGGCAGCAUGACUGUAGCAAUACAGUUGAUGGCGACCGGCAAACGGGUGCGGAACACGUACAGAACCUUCCUUCGAGCGGGGAAUAGCCCAGAGAAAUUUGGAUUAAUACCCCAUAGUAUAUUGAAGUGGCAUCACUUUAAUAUUAAAGAUUUAUCACUUGAAGAUGGCUGUGCGGCUGAUUAGAUAGUUGGCGGGGUAACGGCCCACCAAGUCUGCGAUCAGUAACUGGUGUGAGAGCACGACCAGUCACACGGGCACUGAGACACGGGCCCGACUCCUACGGGAGGCAGCAGUAAGGAAUAUUGGUCAAUGGACGAAAGUCUGAACCAGCCAUGCCGCGUGGAGGAUGAAGGUCCUCUGGAUUGUAAACUUCUUUUAUAUGGGACGAAAAAAGGCUUUUCUAAGUCGUCUGACGGUACCAUAUGAAUAAGCACCGGCUAACUCCGUGCCAGCAGCCGCGGUAAUACGGAGGGUGCAAGCGUUAUCCGGAUUCACUGGGUUUAAAGGGUGCGUAGGUGGGUUGGUAAGUCAGUGGUGAAAUCUCCGAGCUUAACUUGGAAACUGCCAUUGAUACUAUUAAUCUUGAAUAUUGUGGAGGUUAGCGGAAUAUGUCAUGUAGCGGUGAAAUGCUUAGAUAUGACAUAGAACACCAAUUGCGAAGGCAGCUGGCUACACAUAUAUUGACACUGAGGCACGAAAGCGUGGGGAUCAAACAGGAUUAGAUACCCUGGUAGUCCACGCCCUAAACUAUGGAUACUCGACAUACGCGAUAAACUGUGUGUGUCUGAGCGAAAGCAUUAAGUAUCCCCACCUGGGAAGUACGAUCGCAAGAUUGAACUCAAAGGAAUUUGGCGGGGGGUCCCGCACAAGCGGUGGAGCAUGUGGGUUUUAAUUUCGAAUGAUACGCGAGGAACCCU
rnacentral:rRNA from 1 species